rnacentral:pre_miRNA from 1 species
CUUAAGAGUUUUUCUUCGUCAACGCAGCUAUGUGACUGUGGAAUCAUAGCUGCUUGGCGAGGAAUUGCCCUUCCA